UACGGAAUGUGCAAACGUUAUUCGGAAUCACUGGGCUUAAAGAGUCCGUAGGCGGCUUGUUAGGUGAGGUGUGAAAUCCCUCGGCCCAACCGAGGAAUUGCGCUUCAAACCGGCAAGCUUGAGGAGGAUAGAGGUGGGCGGAACUGAUGGUGGAGCGGUGAAAUGCGUUGAUAUCAUCAGGAACACCGGAGGCGAAAGCGGUCCACUGGGUCCUUUCUGACGCUGAGGGACGAAAGCUAGGGGAGCGAACGGG
rnacentral:rRNA from 1 species